AUGAACGCUAGCUACAGGCUUAACACAUGCAAGUCGAGGGGCAGCAUGGACCCAGCUUUGCUGGGUUUGAUGGCGACCGGCGCACGGGUGAGUAACGCGUAUCCAACCUGCCCUUUACUCCGGGAUAGUCUCCUGAAAGGGAGUUUAAUACCGGAUGUGUUUGUCUUUCCGCAUGGGAGCGACAAAUAAAGAUUAAUUGGUAAAGGAUGGGGAUGCGUCCCAUUAGCUUGUUGGCGGGGUAACGGCCCACCAAGGCGACGAUGGGUAGGGGUUCUGAGAGGAAGGUCCCCCACAUUGGAACUGAGACACGGUCCAAACUCCUACGGGAGGCAGCAGUGAGGAAUAUUGGUCAAUGGGCGGGAGCCUGAACCAGCCAAGUAGCGUGAAGGACGACGGCCCUACGGGUUGUAAACUUCUUUUAUAAGGGAAUAAAGUUCGCCACGUGUGGUGUUUUGUAUGUACCUUAUGAAUAAGCAUCGGCUAAUUCCGUGCCAGCAGCCGCGGUAAUACGGAAGAUGCGAGCGUUAUCCGGAUUUAUUGGGUUUAAAGGGAGCGUAGGCGGGCUUUUAAGUCAGCGGUCAAAUGUCGUGGCUCAACCAUGUCAAGCCGUUGAAACUGUAAGCCUUGAGUCUGCACAGGGCACAUGGAAUUCGUGGUGUAGCGGUGAAAUGCUUAGAUAUCACGAAGAACUCCGAUCGCGAAGGCAUUGUGCCGGGGCAUAACUGACGCUGAGGCUCGAAAGUGCGGGUAUCAAACAGGAUUAGAUACCCUGGUAGUCCGCACGGUAAACGAUGAAUGCUCGCUAUGGGCGAUAUAUUGUCCGUGGCCAAGCGAAAGCGUUAAGCAUUCCACCUGGGGAGUACGCCGGCAACGGUGAAACUCAAAGGAAUUGACGGGGGCCCGCACAAGCAGCGGAGCAUGUGGCUUAAUUCGAAGCAACGCGAAGAACCUUACCAGGGCUUGACAUAUGGGUGAAGCGGGGGAGACCCCGUGGCCGAGAGGAGCCCAUACAGGUGGUGCAUGGCUGUCGUCAGCUCGUGCCGUGAGGUGUCGGCUUAAGUGCCAUAACGAGCGCAACCCUUCUCCCCAGUUGCCAUCGGGUAAUGCCGGGCCCUCUGGGGACACUGCCAUCGUAAGAUGCGAGGAAGGUGGGGAUGACGUCAAAUCAGCACGGCCCUUACGUCCGGGGCCACACACGUGUUACAAUGGGGGGUACAGAGGGCCGCUGUCCGGUGACGGUCGGCCAAUCCCUAAAACCCCUCUCAGUUCGGACUGGAGUCUGCAACCCGACUCCACGAAGCUGGAUUCGCUAGUAAUCGCGCAUCAGCCAUGGCGCGGUGAAUACGUUCCCGGGCCUUGUACACACCGCCCGUCAAGCCAUGAAAGCCGGGGGUGCCUGAAGUCCGUGACCGCGAGGGUCGGCCUAGGGUAAAACUGGUGAUUGGGGCU
rnacentral:rRNA from 1 species